UACCGAACCCUAUCAAACUUCGAAUACCGGAUAAUUGAUGAUCGGGAGUCAGACAGUGUGAGAUAAGUUUCAUUGUCGAAAGGGAAACAGCCCAGAUCUACGACUAAGGUCCCAAAGUUCAAGUUAAGUGGAAAAGGAUGUGCAAUUGCGUAGACAACCAGGAUGUUGGCUUAGUAGCAGCCAUUCAUUCAAAGAGUGCGUAAUAGCUCACUGGUCGAGUGAUUGUGCGCCGAAAAUGUAACGGGGCUAAACUUGACACCGAAGUCUAGGCAGAAGGAAACUUCUGGGUAGGGGAGCAACGUGUACGGGCAGAAGCAGAAGCGGAAGCGACUGUGGACUGUACAGGAGAGAGAAUGCCGGCAUGAGUAGCGAGAGCAAAGUGAGAAUCUUUGCCGUCGAAAGCCUAAGGUUUCCUGAGGAAGGCUCGUCCUCUCAGGGUAAGUCGGGACCUAAGCCGAGGACAAUAGUCGUAGGCGAUGGACAAUCGGUUAAUAUUCCGAUACCGCCGAGCAACCGGAUGCAGUGACACAGAAGGAUAGGCAGAGCGUGGCGAUGGUAGACCACGUCCAAGCAGUGAGGCUGUUGUGUAGUGAAGUACGCACAACGUAAGGCUGGGCUGUGAUGGGGAACGAUUACGAUCGGUAAGCUGCUGAAUUCACGCUGGCGAGAAAAGCUGCUACGAAGCGAAGGCGCCCGUACCGCAAACCGACACAGGUAGGCGAGGAGAGAAUCCUAAGACGAGCGGGAGAACCCUUGUUAAGGAACUCGGCAAAAUGACUCCGUAACUUAGGGAGAAGGAGUGCCCAGGAAUGGGCCGCAGAGAAUAGACCCAAGCGACUGUUUACCAAAAACACAGGUCUGUGCGAAGUAGAGAUACGACGUAUACGGGCUGACACCUGCCCAGUGCCGGAAGGUUAAGGGGAAAUGUUAGGGCAACCGAAGCAUGGAACUUAAGCCCCGGUGAACGGCGGCCGUAACUAUAACGGUCCUAAGGUAGCGAAAUUCCUUGUCGGGUAAGUUCCGACCCGCACGAAUGGUGUAACGAUUUGGGUACUGUCUCAACAAGGGACCCGGCGAAAUUGUAGUAUGUGUGAAGAUGCACAUUACCCGCGAUAGGACGGAAAGACCCCGUAGAGCUUUACUGUAGUUUAACAUUGGAUUCCGGUAACAUAUGCACAGGAUAGGUGGGAGGCGGAGAAGCAGUGAUUUCGGUUGCUGCA
rnacentral:rRNA from 1 species